rnacentral:tRNA from 1 species
GCGCCCGUGGUGAAGUGGAUAUCACGCAGGCCUCCGGAGCCUGAAGCAGGGGUUCGAGUCCUCUCGGGCGCACCA